ACCGUACUUUACCCUAAUAUAUAUUAACCAUACAUACAAUACAUUUAAAAAAAAUUGAUCUAAUUGAUUCGAAAAACUUAUCGAUCAUCAUCAUAAUCAAUCACUACAAUAUCAUUAUUAUUUGUGUGAUGGAAGCCGAAGACUAUAAUAGGGUGUUGGAGCCGGAGGAAGUGAUGGAGUUUUUCAGUAGGCCAUUAGCCAGGUUUCCAACAACUGAAGAAAUUAUAAGGUCCGACCCUCAAAAAAAUACCUACCUCGCAAGGACGAUCUGAACGAGACUGCAGGUAACAGUCCUAAACUGAAAGGUGGAUCUGUUCCAAAUAAGGAUCUUGGCGAGUCAAGUGAAACCAAGUUAAAAACUUCGAACCCCGCAACAGAUUCAUCAGCAACAGCCACUCCAUCUGGUAUCAAAGCUGAAGCGUAAGGAUGAUGCUGCCGUAACCAUGAUUUAAAGAAUGAAAAUGUGAACUGAUCGAGGAGCAGAUCAUGUGAUAACAGCUGAAUCUGCUCUGUUCUUAGUUGUUAGGUUUCAUCAGUUAAACUAGUGUUGAUAAAGACUCUUUGAAAUGCCUGGAUCAAUCUGGGCAAAUGCAAUAUUAGCAUCUUAUUAUAACUUCUCUUUUGGCUUCUGUACAAUGCAUUUGGGUAGCGUUUUGGUUAUAAUAUAGCCUCAUCUAACACUGUAAA